CUAAUAUUAAUUGAGUAUAUAGUUCGCUUAUUAUAUUAUGUAGUUAGUAGGCCAAAAGUUCCCAGAUGUCGUACUAAAUUCGCCAAAAUAUGACAUAAACAGGCAGUACUUUAGGGCCCAUAAUGCAAUUCUUCCGGAAAUGAGCGUGGCUUCACAUCGUUUUCAGAUUUGAAGAAAAUGGAGGAAAAUAUUCAGCCGAAGUCCAACGAGAGCGGGAGAGAGACGUGACUAUCGUGGAUCCUCUGGGGGGCCUCAACAGCCUCGUGAUGCUGACGAGGCAGAGAAGAGUCUCUCCACAUCAAAACACCUCAAGAAACAUCAGCUGAGACUCACAGGAGAGAAUCCAUACUGCUGUUCUGACUGCAGGAAGAGUUUCUUAAGAUCCGAUUCACUAACAAUACACAUGAGAAUUCACACUGGAGAGAAACCUUUUAGCUGUAAUCAAUGUGACAAGAAAUUCUCUGAUUAAACAUCAGAAAAUACAUGGAGUUGUUUCAUGAUAUCAAUGAAAUUAUGUCACAAUGUAGAAUGUUUUAACAUUGUAGUAGGAGUGUUUUAAUGAUGAUCUACCU